rnacentral:rRNA from 1 species
UAGUCGUGACUGAGAGGUCGAUCGACCACAUUGGGUCUGAAAAAACCCCAAUGCGUUUUAGUACAGCAGUGAGGAAUAUUGGUCAAUGGCCGAAAGGCUGAACCAGUAACUUGGAAGAAUGAAAGUGUAUUAUAAUAAUACAAUAACGAUUAAGUCGUAUAAAAUUCUAAAUAGAAUAAUGAUAAUGACAAUUUUCUAUUUAUAAGUCUUGACCAAACUACGUGCCAGCAGUCGCGGUAAUACGUAGAAGACUAGUGUUAAUCAUCUUUAUUAGGUUUAAAGGGUACCUAGACGGNAAAUUACACUCUNNAUGAGUACUUUUUUACUAGAGUUUUAUGUNAGANGGAAGAAUUUCUGGAGUAGUGAUAUUAUAUGAUACCAGAGAGACAGGUAACGGCGAAGGCAACCUUCCAUGUAAAAACUGACGUUGAGGGACGAAGGCUUGGGUAGCGAAAAGGAUUAGAUACCCUUGUAGUCCAAGCAGACAAUGAUGAAUGCCAUAGACUAGAUAUAUAUUUAGUUUAUAAAUGAAAGUGUAAGCAUUCCACCUCAAGAGUAAUA